CAGUCGCCGCGGGAAUACGAAGGGGGCUAGCGUUGCUCGGAAUCACUGGGCGUAAAGGGUGCGUAGGCGGGUCUUUAAGUCAGGGGUGAAAUCCUGGAGCUCAACUCCAGAACUGCCUUUGAUACUGAAGAUCUUGAGUUCGGGAGAGGUGAGUGGAACUGCGAGUGUAGAGGUGAAAUUCGUAGAUAUUCGCAAGAACACCAGUGGCGAAGGCGGCUCACUGGCCCGAUACUGACGCUGAGGCACGAAAGCGUGGGGAGCAAACAGGAUUAGAUACCCCAGUAGUCCCUGUCUCUUAUAU
rnacentral:rRNA from 1 species